rnacentral:ncRNA from 18 species
CUAGGCUGAUCCUGUCAGGGUGCCGCCCUUUGGGGCGGAGAAUUGGGAAGCCGGUGUAACUCCGGCGCUGCCCCCGCAACGGUAAGGGAGGGCAUUUCGGCGAUAGGCCACUGGGCAAUUUGUCCGGGAAGGUGCCGAGAUGCGAGGGCCAUUUGGCCUGCCGCCCAAGCCCGGAAACCAGCCUUGGCGGAUCGUCGAAUC